CCGUAGGUGAACCUGCGGAAGGAUCAUUAUUGGAUUUUGAAACUUCAGGCUGCUGCUGGCUCUCCUCGGAGGGCAUGUGCACGCUUGUUGUCCAUUAUUUCUCCCACUGUGCACAAAUUGUAGACCUUUCAGUAGGCCUAUGUUGUUUUUCACAAUCUCUGAAUGUAAUAGAAUGGUUUUGAAUCUUGGGAAAUACAAUACAACUUUCAGCAACGGAUCUCUUGGCUCUC
rnacentral:misc_RNA from 1 species